rnacentral:rRNA from 1 species
GACGAACGCUGGCGGCGUGGAUUAGGCAUGCAAGUCGAACGGUAUCAUCCUUUCGGGGGUGAGAGAGUGGCGAACUGGUGAGUAACACGUAGGUUAUCUACCCUCAAGACGGGGACAACCCAGGGAAACUUGGGCUAAUACCGGAUGUGAGCAACUUUUAGUUGUUUGAAAGGUGGCGUAAGCUGUCGCUUGGGGAUGAGCCUGCGUCCUAUUAGUUAGUUGGUGAGGUAACGGCUCACCUAGGCAAUGAUAGGUAGGCGGCCUUAACGGGUGGUCGCCCACACUGGGAUUGAGAUACGGCCCAGACUCCUACGGGAGGCAGCAGUCGAGAAUAGUCUACAAUGGUCGGAAGACUGAUAGUGCGACGCCGCGUGAACGAUGAAUCCCUUCGGGGUGUAAAGUUCUUUUAUAUGUGAGCAGUGCUUCUUAUAUUAACAGUAUGGGGAAGAGAUAUUAGCAUAUGAAUAAGCAACGGCUAACUCCGUGCCAGCAGCCGGUAAUA